rnacentral:lncRNA from 1 species
AGUAUAUAACAUAUACUAACGCUGACAGAAACUUAAAGAUAUAAAUCCAUUGUAUUUGAAAAUAUUGACAAUUGUUGCCUUAGUGGGUGAUAGAUAAAAGUGGUUUGUUAUUUUUACUCAGGUGCGAUACCAAAGCAGGAAAAAACUAGCGGAACAACGACCUCGUGUCCGUGGCCAGUUCGUCCGAAAAACAGCUGCUGCAACGGAUGAUAACGACGUAAAAACGCCGAGGGAUAGCUAACGGGAAAAACUGCUAAACCAACACUUGUCCGCAGGAAAAAAAACUUGUAAGGUUCUCAUCAUCCUUGUUGGGAUCUGUCUAUCAGUCUAUAUAUCAUUUCUUUUUAACAAUUUUUCUUUACCCUCAAAGUGUGAUUCUUUGAUACUACUACACUAGUAUUCCACGAACACACACGACAGACAAAUUGAUUGUUUGUAAUUUUGUCAUCGUAUAGUGUGGUUUGUGGAUUCAGGACAGGAUUUGGUUCAUGAGUUGGAGGGUGUGGUUGUAGAUGUUGUAAACUUCUGUAAAACAAUAACCCACUGUUUGUUUGUAUAAGCUAUAUUGGUUUUGGAGCAUAUAUAUUGUAGUUUACUGAUAUUAUCUCCUUUCUUUUGUUUUUCAACAAAUAUUUCAACUCCAUUUCUAAAAAAGAACACUCUUAUAUCAAUUGAUUGCAACCGCUAUGAUGAACUACGGUUGUUGCGUAUACAAGUCGUGUGUGAUUAGUCACUACAACUUGGGAAAGAAUAUUCUAUCUUGUGUGUUGAAACUCGAGAAAAAAAUAAAAUUCGAUGGGUAGUUAGUUGGUUCUACUUUGCUAGAAACCCAAUUAAUUUACCUAUAUUAUUAUUUACCAAUUAAUUUACCUAUAUUAUUAUUUACAAUGUGAUUAUUUGCAUUUCUCGCUAUUAAAAAUUAGUAUGCUAAAGUUUUUACUAUGCUUACAUGUGCAGGUAUCUCUACAGUUUUGUAAAGCUCGUUUCUUUAAUAUUCAUUUGGGAUAAAAUUAAUUAUUAUUUUUUUCCAAUAAUAUUUAUAAUUAUUUUUAGUCAGGUAUAUUGAAAUAGAUAAAUUUGUGUGAAAAAUAGAAUUUCAAAGACAACUUAUUGAAUUGAGUUUUUUUAUUUAAGAAUGAACUGUGUUUAAAACAAAAACUUUAAUUAUCACACAUCUGUUUGAAAACUUAUACUCUUUAUGUUUCAUAUUAAGUAUCAUUUUGACUUUUUUUUUAGGGCAAUUAUCAAUAAUAGCACCUUUUGAAGUUUAUGUCUCAAAAAUAGCACUAGAAGGAAAAAGUCACAAAAAUAACAUUCAUUAAAGGGUAAAAUAUCCCUAAUACCUUUGGUUUAAAAUUAAAUAAACAAACAAAAAUAAAUAAAAAUAAAUAAAAUAAAAAUUUAGUGGGUGAUAGAUAAAAAGUGGUUUGUUAUUUUACUCAGGUGCGAUACCAAAGCCGGAAAAAACUAGCGGAACAACGACCUCGUGUCCGUGGCCAGUUCGUCCGAAAAACAGCUGCUGCAACGGAUGAUAACGACGUAAAAACGCCGAGGGAUAGCUAACGGGAAAAACUGCUAAACCAACACUUGUCCGCAGGAAAAAAAACUUGUAAGGUUCUCAUCAUCCUUGUUGGGAUCUGUCUAUCAGUCUAUAUAUCAUUUCUUUUUAACAAUUUUUCUUUACCCUCAAAGUGUGAUUCUUUGAUACUACUACACUAGUAUUCCACGAACACACACGACAGACAAAUUGAUUGUUUGUUAUUUUGUCGUCGUAUAGUGUGGUUUGUGGAUUCAGGACAGGAUUUGGUUCAUGAGUUGGAGGGUGUGGUUGUAGAUGUUGUAAACUUCUGUAAAACAAUAACCCACUGUUUGUUUGUAUAAGCUAUAUUGGUUUUGGAGCAUAUAUAUUGUAGUUUACUGAUAUUAUCUCCUUUCUUUUGUUUUUCAACAAAUAUUUCAACUCCAUUUCUAAAAAAGAACACUCU